CCUACGGGUGGCAGCAGUGGGGAAUAUUGGUCAAUGGGCGCAAGCCUGACCCAGCAACGCCGCGUGAAGGAAGAAGGCUUUCGGGUUGUAAACUUCUUUUCUCAGGGACGAAGAAAGUGACGGUACCUGAGGAAUAAGCCUCGGCUAACUACGUGCCAGCAGCCGCGGUAAUACGGAGGUGGCAAGCGUUAUCCGGAUUUGUUGGGUGUAAAGGGCGUGUAGGCGGGACUGCAAGUCAGAUGUGAAAACCACGGGCUCAACCUGUGGGCUGCAUUUGAAACUGUAGUUCUUGAGUACAGGAGAGGCAGACGGAAUUCCUAGUGUAGCGGUGAAAUGCGUAGAUAUUAGGAGGAACACCAGUGGCGAAGGCGGUCUGCUGGACAGUAACUGACGCUGAGGCGCGAAAGCGUGGGGAGCAAACAGGAUUAGAUACCCGUGUAGUC
rnacentral:rRNA from 1 species